CGAGUCCCCAAUCUAAACCGUCAAUAGUCCGAGGCAAGGUGCUCUCACGAAUCGCACCUUCCUAUUUCAUCAAAACGUCCAAGAACUUCAGGUUAGUCCACGAGUGUCUACAUUGAGAAAUCAUCAAGAUUUUGUGUGUUAGCAACGUUUUGUGUUGAUCCUUGGACUCUUACCCUCAACAACGCUAUCUGGUUAAGUUCUGGAGUGAAGGCGGCCAAGAUUGGCGUUCGAAUCGGAGUUUCAAGAAAAUGUGAUUUUCGGACCUAUGAAGGAAAUUCCAGAAUUGUUGGAAUCCAUUCCGUCAAGAAAACUCGAACUCGGGAAGGCACGCGUCAACUAAGUGAGUGAUGCCAUGGAUCGAGGCGGGAAUGCAUGUUGAAUCUUAAUGCCACAGAGGAGUGUCCCGAGGCGUCUAGGAGUCUGUGCAUAAUUUUGUUUAGAUUUGUCAUGCAUUGUUUUGUAAACCAUUUACAUACUUUUCAUACUUGAACACCUUGUUUUGGAUUUUAA